rnacentral:rRNA from 1 species
UCAUUACUGAGUGCGGGCUGCCUUCGGGCGCCCAACCUCCCACCCGUGACUACCUAACACUGUUGCUUCGGCGGGGAGCCCUCUCGGGGGCGAGCCGCCGGGGACUACUGAACUUCAUGCCUGAGAGUGAUGCAGUCUGAGUCUGAAUAUAAAAUCAGUCAAAACUUUCAACAAUGGAUCUCUUGGUUCCGGCAUCGAUGAAGAACGCAGCGAACUGCGAUAAGUAAUGUGAAUUGCAGAAUUCAGUGAAUCAUCGAGUCUUUGAACGCACAUUGCGCCCCCUGGCAUUCCGGGGGGCAUGCCUGUCCGAGCGUCAUUGCUGCCCAUCAAGCCCGGCUUGUGUGUUGGGUCGUCGUCCCCCCCGGGGGACGGGCCCGAAAGGCAGCGGCGGCACCGUGUCCGGUCCUCGAGCGUAUGGGGCUUUGUCACCCGCUCGAUUUAGGGCCGGCCGGGCGCCAGCCGACGUCCAACCAUUUUUCUUCAGGUUGACCUCGGAUCAGGUAGGGAUACCCGCUGAACUUAAGCAUAUCAAUAAGCGGAGGA